UGCCAAUGUGAGCAAGCAUCCUAUCUUACCCUAUGUCAUAGCCCGGGAGCCAGUAAUAAAGAAUGCACUGGGGUAACUGGGAGGAUGAGAACUUAUUCCAUAAGGAACUGUCUGAGGAGC